rnacentral:tRNA from 1 species
GCCCGGGUGGUGGAAUUGGUAGACACUACGGACUUAAAAUCCGUUGGUCAUUGCGACCGUGCCGGUUCAAGUCCGGCCCCGGGUACAA